UGAUUGUGCAGUGUAAAAGAGAUCCUUAGAUGGCAAUAUUGAUAAAUCUUCAAGUUCUGGUUUUGACAAGUUAUAAUUAUGCAAAACUACUAAAGAGGAGAGUUCCACAAACUGCCAUGAACAUCAUAAUCCCAUUUGCAUUGGCAAUAAUUAUCAAGAUCUAUUUUACAAAGGAAAAUCCAAUGUCUGGUGCCAAAAAGUUACCAAAAAAGAGCAUCCUGCUUCAGUAGUAAAAGUUAAAUAAAUAGCUAUUCCAAAAGAUUUAUAUCUGACGUACAUUCUUAGGGUUAUCUCAUGUAUGAAUCUGUGAAGGUAUCUUGUUUUACUCUCCUGGUGGGCUCCAAACAUCUGAUGGGGGAAGACCUUAAAAGUUUGUGUUCUUUAUUCACUGGUACUUUUACCAGAACAUUACAUGAAGAUUAGAACACAGAUAGAUUACUGAGGAUAAAGAAAUAGAAUGUCCAUCACAGAGGGAUUUAAUGACUCUGGGGACUGGUACUAUGAUAUAGGUACAGCCUUUUGCUAUUAGGUAAUUGUUUAGAAUCCAGCCCAUGUUGCUAGUGACUGGAAGUCAUUACUAGGUGAUGUAUUUUUAGUGGCCUAUGUGAAAUGAGUUGGUGAUCUCAGUCCAGCUAGCUAGGCAGUAGUCUGUAUCACACAAAUGACCCUUUCCUACUUCUAACCUCCCUAUUUUACAGAUGGAGAAAAUGAGGCACAGAAAGGUUAGCAAGUUAGUGCAGAGACCAAGAAUAUGACCCAUCAGUGCUGGCUCACAAUCCCUUCCUCCAGAAAGCACACCUUCAAAUUUUCCCUUUUCUUUUCUCCAAAAUAUGUCUGUCCAUUAACCAUGCCCCCUCCGUCACCAGUUCAGGAGUGCAAUUCCUGCAGCUGAUCACAUAAAAGCUCUUCAAAAGUGUUAUUCUGAAAUGAAUGAAGGAUGCUACCUGUCUUGAAAAUUGGAGAUGGUCCUGAUUUUGGAACAUUUUGCACUCUUUUCAUAAAAGGGAAGUUCCAAUAAAUAAUGGAAUGGAAGGUGGGGGUGGAGGGAAGGCAAAUAUUUAGAUUUCAUCUCAUAGCAUUUAAAAUCUUGUGGUCUGAUCCUCAGCUGGUGUAAAUAAAUACAGCUCUUUUGAGGACAAUGGAUCAGUUUAUGCCAGAUAACUAUCUAGCUCCUGAAUAGGUGGAUGGACUAUGCUCUCCUUUCCACCUCAUGUUCUCGUAAGCCCUUUUGUAAUGAGUAAUCUUUUUAUUUUUACUGUAUGUUUUCAAAAGGAUGAUGACUAAUGUGGUUGAAUCAGUAGCUUUAAAAUAGAGGCUGAAAAUGAAUAUUUUAAUAUGUCUUUCACACUUUGAGCCAAUUCAUAAUGUGUAUGAUGUCUUGGAAUACUUUGAUAAGCAUAUGUCUGAUUAUAAAAAACCUAUGUCUGAUUCGUAAAGCAUAGUAAUCCAUCCAUCAGACAGCCACCCACUCCAUAAUUUCCUAUAGAAAUAUGUACAAGUGCACUACUUAUGUAUGGGACACAGUCAUAGAUUUGUCAUGGGUUGAUUAGUAAAUAUAGAGUGACAGUGCUAAAGCACAUAUUUCGUCAGCAGGAAACUGUGGAAAGGAGAAUUAUUUAUUAUUAUUCUAAGAUGUUAUUUGUGCCUGGCACAACCAGUGACAGACUUGUUCCCUUUUUUCUCUUAUGAUUAUCAGUCAAUAGAAGAAAAACAAGCCUGCUUGUUCUGUAUUAACUGGCAAAUGUAUUGUGACAUUUUAAGUAUACCAUGACAUGUCCAUAUUGGGGCAUUCAGUUGCCUUGCCAUAUAAUUAAAUAUACAAAUGAAACUGUCCUGUAAUUUUUAAAUCCUAGAAAUUAAAGCAUUCCCCAAGGGGAGAAUUGGGUGUGCUACUAGAAUUCUAAUCUAUUCUGUUUUCAUUACACCAUAUAAGUAGGCAUAUAAAUUGAAUUAUGAUGGGUUGAAGACUGGCAAGUAUUUCUAAGGAGCCAAUGGAUCUGAGUCUAUCAAAUAAUUUUAGAAGACAGAAAAAAUAUUGCACUGUGCUAUUAAAUAUUCAACAGGUGAUCCAAGAUGCUGCUAGUAGGGUGAACGCUAAACAAUUCACCCCAUGCAAGGUGUUAUCAGCUUGUUAUAUUGUCCUCCUUUUAAAGAUGGGUACGCUGAGGUAGAGAAGUGACUUGUAAGUAGCUACACAGUGAGCCACCAGUGAAGACUUGAGUAGUACUGACAGGGUCCUAAGCCUCACUCCCACCCUUAUUCCUUUAGGUUGUACUGUCUCUCAAGAAGUUAUACUGUCUAGCACACAGCGGAAGAGAAGAGCAGCACUGGGAAAAGAAUCUCUGAGGACAGGAAUGUUGGCAGCAGGCCCAGUUACCCAACGUGCGCUCAGUGCACUCGCACAAGACCCCCAUCUUGUGGCAGCUGGGACUUGUGGGCCAGGAAAGGGGCAGGGCAUCGUAGGGGGUGAAGGGCAGAGGAGGGCUCCCUCUGCCUCGUGUGGCAAAGCCCACAGGCUGGAGCAGGGAACCAGGCCAGACCCAUGGGACAGGGGCCUAUGGGUGAUUGCAGCCAGGCAGGCUUACUUUCCAACACCUCAGGGGCCUCCAUCCUAUGGGACAGGAUCUUCAUGUCUCCCAUCCCCCCAGGGGCAGGGAAGAUGUGCAGAGGCUCGAUUUCCAUUGUGCAUAGGGCCCCAAAAUUCUUUAAUCCGGGCGCUGGCUGGCAGGUGGCCUGUGGAAAGAGGGGCCGAUGGAAAGGUGGAGUUACUGUGAUGCACUGAUUGUAAGCUUUAAGCACAGGAUACAGUGCAUGUCCAAAAGCAUCUAGACUUGUUACAGAAUCAAAAGGAAAACAAAUAGACAUAACUAAUUUGAAUACAGCACACUCUGUAAAACUCAUAAGAUCGGGAUUCCUGGCCCUCUACAAGACAGGAAUUCAAUCACCUUUCCUAAGAGCUACUUCCUAUGGGACUCCUUAAUCACUUCUGAACUCCCCAGUGUGGGGCCAAACUGCAAUAGAAACCUCUCCCAGCAUGCUUUCCAGGUAGCUGGCCCUUUAAAUUUGGGAGCAACAAGCAGCUGUAGUCCUAAAAUGACCAUUAUAUGUUUGACUGCUGAAGGUGAACACCUCUUUUCCUUCUGGAGGUAAGUAUUUUUUUUUCUCCUUUUCUAAUUCUUGAAGAGAUGGUUUGUCCCCAGAGUUACCUGCCACCACCUCGUUAGCAACGAGGUUUUAAACCUUAGACAUCAGUUAAUCAAAGUUUCCCCUCCCCCUGAAUUCAGAAGAAAGAUACAACUUCAUUGCUCUAAGGACUAAUAGCUGUUCUGAGUUUUUGCAUGCUUUAUUUUUCAAGGAAUUUAUUUCAGAAUUAAAAAUAAGUGGUGAUAUUAGUAGGGAGGCUGCAGAAAACAAAGCAGAAGAAAGGCCAUGCUACAUCGUCCUCUCUAUUGAUGUGGAGGUUGGUGGAUCUCACUCGGAAGCUCAGAUUUCCAGGGGGAACACAAAGAGAGAGAGAGACUAGACUGGGGAUUAAAGUGAAUCAUAAUUCAGCAGCAUCGCUGAAGAUUAAAACCCAGGGAGAUCUUUUUCAGCCAGCAGUCCAGUGACUGCAGGCUCCCAAACUUGGGUUCUCUCUCACCCCAUUAAAACAAGUGUGUCCUGAGCCCCUCAACUUCAGCAACUAAGCAAAGUGGAAGGCUUUAAGGGUUUCAUCCAGAGACAUUUCUAGGGAGCCUUUCUCAAAUUAAAAUCUAUGACAUCUCACUCAGCCAGGUGGAAAAAAACCAUAGCCUCUGAAAAUAUAUAAAACAAGCUUUUAUGAUGGAUUUCAUAUUACUUUAAUGGUGGUGAAUGUAACUGGCUGAACACCCUUUGAGACUGAAGCCCCCAGUUUACUACCAGGACACUUAAAGCUCAGGUAAUGGCAGUGCAAACUCCCUUCCUGAUGCCCUAGAAAAUGAAUGUACCUCAAGUCAGUAUUGGUGAAUCCAACUUUUUACUUACCUACAGGAAUAGCCCCAGUAAUGGACUAGUUGGAAUGAUAAGAAGGCAGUUCUGGCUGGAUGCUCCCUUAGUCCUUCAUGGUUCUGAUAAGAUUGCCGACCGGGUGUGUUGUAACAGAUCACUUUCAAGGGCAUAGAAAAGAAUAACAUUGUUAUGGAAGGGCUUUGUCUAGGAUGCUUUGCCAUGAAACUAGAAGGUUGGAAAUUGCUGUUGAAACUCCUUUCAGUGGAUCCCCACAGCAGGACUUUUGACUUUGGCUCAUCUCUAAUUGAGAACCCAUGCAAAACACAUACCUUGUACUUUCCACAGAGCAGAUGGUGCAACAGGCUUUACUGACUGCAGUCAGUAAAAUAACAGAUUGUCUAGAAAAGUUUGUUCACUCUUGGCAGACAAUUGAAUCUAGAGUGAGGCAUGUUGCUUAAGCUUAUUACACAUUUCAGCAAAAGUGGGCAGCCAGUGAAAUUUUUGUCAUUGGCUUUACUGAAAGCUCCUUAAACUAAAAGAGAGAGAUGUUGGAAGUCGAUUCAUGUUAAAAGAUUUGGCCAACUGUUGGAUGUAUGUGUGUGUGCCCCCUUUGGAGAAGACCUGUGGUAUUGUGAGUAGAAAAGACAUUUUUGUAUGUGUGGGACUAAUUUACUUGCCAGACUUUUUUUUAAAUUUUUUAAGUAUAGUGGAAACCUCUUACUCCUAGUGUGUCACGUUUCAAAAGUUUGUAAAACCUAUGCUUUGUUUCCAGUAUUGCAUGAGAAAACUGAGCUUUUAAAUUUAUUAA